rnacentral:rRNA from 1 species
GCGCGAAAACUUUACAAUGCUGGCAACAGCGAUAAGGGAACCUCGAGUGCCAGGUUACAAAUCUGGCUGUCGAGAUGCCUAAAAAGCAUUUCAUAGCAAGGGCCGGGCAAGACCGGUGCCAGCCGCCGCGGUAACACCGGCGGCUCGAGUGGUAACCGUUAUUAUUGGGUCUAAAGGGUCUGUAGCCGGCCGGAUAAGUCUCUUGAGAAAUCUGGCAGCUUAACUGUCAGGCUUUCAGGAGAUACUGUCUGGCUCGUGGCCGGGAGAGGUGA